GAUGAACGCUGGCGGCGUGCCUAAUACAUGCAAGUCGAGCGAACAGACGAGGAGCUUGCUCCUCUGACGUUAGCGGCGGACGGGUGAGUAACACGUGGAUAACCUACCUAUAAGACUGGGAUAACUUCUGGAAACCGGAGCUAAUACCGGAUAAUAUAUUGAACCGCAUGGUUCAAUAGUGAAAGACGGUUUUGCUGUCACUUAUAGAUGGAUCCGCGCCGCAUUAGCUAGUUGGUAAGGUAACGGCUUACCAAGGCAACGAUGCGUAGCCGACCUGAGAGGGUGAUCGGCCACACUGGAACUGAGACACGGUCCAGACUCCUACGGGAGGCAGCAGUAGGGAAUCUUCCGCAAUGGGCGAAAGCAUGACGGAGCAACGCCGCGUGAGUGAUGAAGGUCUUCGGAUCGUAAAACUCUGUUAUUAGGGAAGAACAAAUGUGUAAGUAACUAUGCACGUAUUGACGGUACCUAAUCAGAAAGCCACGGCUAACUACGCG
rnacentral:rRNA from 1 species